rnacentral:lncRNA from 1 species
AAAGGCCUUACAUUGAAAUGGAAUUGAGAUGCCGCGGAUAGAACAAUGGGUUAGUUAUAAACAUUUUUGGAGAUGCUAUGCUACUAGCCUCAUACCAUGAACAUGCAUAGCCAUCUCUAGACAACUCUGAUAUUAAGUGUUUUUUCUCAAAAUUGCCGGGAUGUCACGUGUUACUUAUUACGAAACGUAUAUUCGAUCAAAUAUAAGCCAUUCAUUUUUUGUUGACCAAAUUCGACACUCUCGUUGACCUCCAUACAAAAGCUCCUUGCUUAGUGGUUAAAAAAAACAACAAAAAAAAACAAAUCUGCUUGAGGGAGACAGAUUUUCCGCGGAGUUGAGUCUUCCUCUUCCUCUCUGGGCAUAAUAAAAAGACACGCGUUGGGGUUCCAGCAUUGUAAACAUUAUGGUGCAUAGCUGACGUUUAGCAUACUUUGGUCUGGUAAUAUCUUGAAAACAUCGGCAAAGAAAAACGCUGAUCAUCUACAGAUAACAACCGUUUUCAUAAACUGACUCGUGACAACAUAAUUGACAACAUAAUUGACUUCCCUGCCAAGCUCACCGUCUAUGGGCUCUGUCUAGUUCCGGGAUGUCCGGCGGUCGGGGCUCCAGCGUCAACCCUGACGGUUCUGAAGCAGAAUCCAACAGUGGCAGCAGGGUGACAUGCAGUUAUUAACUGAGGAGGAACACGAUUAUAUUGAUGUGCUGACUUACCUAUUGAGGAGGUAAGUUGUAGCUGGGACUGGGAGACCAGGCUCCUGAGUGGUGCAGUGGUCUAAGGCACUGUAUCUGAGUGCAAGAGGCGUCACUACAGUCCCUGGUUAGAAUCCAGGCUGUAUCACAUCCAGCUGUGAUUGGGAGGCCCAUAGGGCGGUGCACGAUUGGCCCAGUGUCGUCUGUGGAUGGCCGUUAUUGUAAAUAAGAAUUUGUUAACUGACUUGCCUACUUAUUUAAAAAAAUAAGUCUAGCUAAAGAGUAGACCUAGCACAUGAGAAGUGCUCUGCUCCAAGUCAAAAACUACUCAACACCAUACUCUAGCUGUCACGGUUGUCGUAGGGUAAAGCG